CGAUAAGGGCAAACCCUAGAGAAAUCAGGGGGCGCAAAACCAACAGGCCUAAGUCCGCCAAGGCGGAUAAGGCGGCUGGGUUACCA
rnacentral:ncRNA from 1 species